CACGUUAAGACAGAACAACCUGCUGG
rnacentral:piRNA from 1 species